UUGAAAGGGAAACGAUUGAAGUCAGUCGUCUUGCAUAAAUCAAUUCCCGCCCCCUGAAAAGUUUAGGCGGGUGACCUAAAAAACCAUGGAUUGGCAUUUUCUGGCGGGCAGUGGGGCACUUUUUUUCGGCCGGUUAGCAUCAAAAUUGACCCCAUAAAAAAGCUGGGGGGAGGUGGCCCCUUUCGGAGUGUUAUAACCCUUAGCGGAAUGUGGUGGACGAGAUUGAGGUUUGCAACGGGUGAUGCUUCGCCUGGCCUCUCGCCGGCGUCUUGGCGGCGACAGCUUGCUGACGUCGUUAGGAACCGCAGACGAAAAGGUUAGAGCGGAGCGAUUCGUUAAGGAUGUUGACGUA
rnacentral:rRNA from 1 species